AGUGAACGCUGGCGGUAGGCCUAACACAUGCAAGUCGAACGGCAGCACAGUAAGAGCUUGCUCUUACGGGUGGCGAGUGGCGGACGGGUGAGGAAUACAUCGGAAUCUACUUUUUCGUGGGGGAUAACGUAGGGAAACUUACUCUAAUACCGCAUACGACCUACGGGUGAAAGCAGGGGAUCUUCUGACCUUGCGCGAUUGAAUGAGCCGAUGUCGGAUUAGCUAGUUGGCGGGGUAAAGGCCCACCAAGGCGACGAUCCGUAGCUGGUCUGAGAGGAUGAUAGGCCACACUGGAGCUGGGACACGGACCAGACUCCUACGGGAGGCAGCAGUGGGGAAUAUUGGACAAUGGGCGCAAGCCUGAUCCAGCCAUACCGCGUGGGUGAAGAAGGCCUUCGGGUUGUAAAGCCCUUUUGUUGGGAAAGAAAAGCAGCAGGUUAAUACCCCGCUGUUCUGACGGUACCCAAAGAAUAAGCACCGGCUAACUUCGUG
rnacentral:rRNA from 1 species